rnacentral:rRNA from 1 species
UACGUAGGGCGCAAGCGUUAUCCGGAAUUAUUGGGCGUAAAGAGCUCGUAGGCGGUUUGUCGCGUCUGCCGUGAAAGUCCGGGGCUCAACCCCGGAUCUGCGGUGGGUACGGGCAGACUUGAGUGCAGUAGGGGAGACUGGAAUUCCUGGUGUAGCGGUGAAAUGCGCAGAUAUCAGGAGGAACACCGGUGGCGAAGGCGGGUCUCUGGGCCGAUACUGACGCUGAGGAGCGAAAGCGUGGGGAGCGAACAGG